rnacentral:rRNA from 1 species
GACGAAUGCUGGCGGCGUGCUUAACACAUGCAAGUCGAACGGAAAGGCCCUGCUUUUGUGGGGUGCUCGAGUGGCGAACGGGUGAGUAACACGUGAGUAACCUGCCCUUGACUUUGGGAUAACUUCAGGAAACUGGGGCUAAUACCGGAUAGGAGCUCCUGCUGCAUGGUGGGGGUUGGAAAGUUUCGGCGGUUGGGGAUGGACUCGCGGCUUAUCAGCUUGUUGCUUGGGUAGUGGCUUACCAAGGCUUUGACGGGUAGCCGGCCUGAGAGGGUGACCGGCCACAUUGGGACUGAGAUACGGCCCAGACUCCUACGGGAGGCAGCAGUGGGGAAUAUUGCACAAUGGGCGGAAGCCUGAUGCAGCAACGCCGCGUGCGGGAUGACGGCCUUCGGGUUGUAAACCGCUUUCGCCUGUGACGAAGCGUGAGUGACGGUAAUGGGUAAAGAAGCACCGGCUAACUACGUG